rnacentral:rRNA from 1 species
CCUACGGGUGACAGCAGUCGAGAAUCAUUCACAAUGGGGGAAACCCUGAUGGUGCGACGCCGCGUGGGGGAAUGAAGGUCUUCGGAUUGUAAACCCCUGUCAUGUGGGAGCAAAUUAAAAAGAUAGUACCACAAGAGGAAGAGACGGCUAACUCUGUGCCAGCAGCCGCGGUAAUACAGAGGUCUCAAGCGUUGUUCGGAAUCACUGGGCGUAAGGCGUGCGUAGGCUGUUUCGUAAGUCGUGUGUGAAAGGCGCGGGCUCAACCCGCGGACGGCACAUGAUACUGCGAGACUAGAGUAAUGGAGGGGGAACCGGAAUUCUCGGGGUAGCAGUGAAAUGCGUAGAUAUCGAGAGGAACACUCGUGGCGAAGGCGGGUUCCUGGACAUUAACUGACGCUGAGGCACGAAGGCCAGGGGAGCGAAAGGGAUUAGAUACCCGAGUAGUC